AUUGAACGCUGGCGGAAUGCUUUACACAUGCAAGUCGAACGGCAGCACGGACUUCGGUCUGGUGGCGAGUGGCGAACGGGUGAGUAAUGUAUCGGAACGUGCCCAGUCGUGGGGGAUAACGUAGUGAAAAUUACGCUAAUACCGCAUACGAUCUAUGGAUGAAAGCGGGGGAUCGCAAGACCUCGCGCGAUUGGAGCGGCCGAUAUCAGAUUAGGUAGUUGGUGGGGUAAAGGCCCACCAAGCCAACGAUCUGUAGCUGGUCUGAGAGGACGACCAGCCACACUGGAACUGAGACACGGUUCAGACUCCUACGGGAGGCAGCAGUGGGGAAUUUUGGACAAUGGGCGAAAGCCUGAUCCAGCCAUUCCGCGUGCAGGAUGAAGGCCCUCGGGUUGUAAACUGCUUUUGUACAGAACGAAAAGGUUUCUACUAAUACUAGGAGCUCAUGACGGUACUGUAAGAAUAAGCACCGGCUAACUACGUGCCAGCAGCAGCCGCGG
rnacentral:rRNA from 1 species